ensembl:lncRNA
UGUGGUUACAUAUCAUAUGGCCAAAAAUUGGCUUAAACUUAAAGGAGAAGAGGUAGAUGAUGUUUUGUUUGUCAGUUAUAAAAAUUUUAAUAGUAACAUUAUUAAAGAAAAAAAGAAAAUAAACAUAAUGAACAAUGGUUUAGAUACAUGUGCAAAAAUGAAUGCGAUAGUAAGAGAAGUGAAAAAAGGAAGAUGUGAGCUAAUUGGGUUAAAUAAGGUAACAGGAAAAACUAAAGGAAGUAAAAAUGCGUAUUACCAUUUUGACUUCUUUAAUUAUGAUAAAGAAUGUUAUUGUUUAUGCUGUUAUAAAAAAGAAAAUAACAAAAACGUAAAAAAAAUAAAAAAAGUAAAAAAAGAUAUAAGUAAAUCACGUAUAGAGUAUAAUUAUAGUAAUGUAGACAGUGUUGACAAUUUUGUUUUACAUAAUAAUCAACUUAUUGAAAAAAUUUCGGAGGUGAUUUAUAAAGAUGAUAAAAAUUCAACUAGUGAUAAUAGAAACAUACAAUGUCCUUAUGUUAAUAACAUUUUUAUAUUAAAAUUGCAAACCAAAAAAAAUAGAAAAAUUGACAAAAGUAGUAAUAAUAAUAAUAUAUGCUUAUCUAACACAAGAUCAGUAUUAAAAAAUAGGUUAUUAUAUUGUCAAAAAUGGAAAUAUAAAAAUAGAUAUACAAUUAAAAGUAAAAUCAAACAAAAAAUGGAAAAAAAAAAAAAUUAUGAACGAUUGUACGUAUCUAAAAAAAUACAUCCAUAUAUACACCAUAACAGCAAAUAUAGCUGUUGUUUAAAUUUUUCAGAAACGUAUAAUAACGGAUCUUAUUUAUGUUGUUCUUUAAAAAUGUUACAUACAAUGGAUGAAUCUACUAUAAUUAAAAUUGUUUUGGAAAAUAAGGGUAUAAAUUUUGUGUAUUUUGUUAUGAACUAUUUUAUUCAGAAAAGUUUAAAAAAUGGAAAUAAUAUACACAAAAAGAUACGUACAAAAAGUAGUGUUAAGUUUAGCAACCUAAGUCAUAGUAACAAAAUAAGAAAUGAAUCGAAUAGUAACUACAUGUUGAAUGUUGAGACUGACAAAAAUGGAAAUAGUUAUGACGUUGUGGUUAUAAAUGAAAGGGAUAAAACAAAUAAGGAGAGGUUAUAUAAAAUGGGUAGUAGCAGUGGUAGUAGUAACGACAGUAACAAAGACAAUAACAACAACGGUAGUACCAGUAUAAACGACAAUAACAAUGACAGUAACGACAAUAACAAUGACAGUAACGACAGUAACAACGACAGUAGUACCAGUAUAAACGACCACAAAAGAAAUAACUUAUGUACACACUCAAAUACAACACGAAUUCCAUUUUAUCGACAUAUCUAUUUAGAAAAUUGUAAUAGUAAAAAACAAACAAUAAAAAUAAAAAAUUUGUUUUACGAAUUAAUAAAAAUUAUUAAUAUAAAUUCAUACAAUUUUCAUUUUUUUUUUAUAUCUAUUAGAAUAUUAUAUAGAUAAUAAUAAUUUUUCAGGAGUGUUUAUAAUUUUAUUAACACUCAAAUAUUUUAGUAUUGAUUUUUUUAGUACAUUACAUAAAUCGAUAGAGUAUAAUUUUUAUGAUGUCAUUAAAAUUAAAACUCAAGAAACAAAACAGACAAAUGAACGCAAAAACCAGAAGUUAAUUUUAUCUGAGCAUACUAACGAAUUUGAAAAAAGAAAUGAUCAACUAAAUGUAACUAAAGCAAAUAAUAAUGGUUAUAAUAAUGGUUAUAAUAAUGAUUAUAAUGAUG